rnacentral:rRNA from 1 species
GUGGGGAAUAUUGGACAAUGGGCGAAAGCCUGAUCCAGCCAUGCCGCGUGUGUGAAGAAGGUCUUCGGAUUGUAAAGCACUUUAAGUUGGGAGGAAGGGCAGUAAGUUAAUACCUUGCUGUUUUGACGUUACCGACAGAAUAAGCACCGGCUAACUUCGUGCCAGCAGCCGCGGUAAUACGAAGGGUGCAAGCGUUAAUCGGAAUUACUGGGCGUAAAGCGCGCGUAGGUGGUUUUGUAAGUUGGAGGUGAAAUCCCCGGGCUCAAACUGGGAACUGCCUCCAAAACUGCAUGACUAGAGUACGGUAGAGGGUAGUGGAAUUUCCUGUGUAGCGGUGAAAUGCGUAGAUAUAGGAAGGAACACCAGUGGCGAAGGCGACUACCUGGACUGAUACUGACACUGAGGUGCGAAAGCGUGGGGAGCAAACAGGAUUAGAAACCCCGGUAGUCC